rnacentral:tRNA from 1 species
GGCUUUAUAUUCAAAAAUGAUAUAAAAUUGCAAAUUUUAAGGAAUAGAAGUUAAUUCUAUUAAGGCUU